UAGCAUAUCAAUAAGCGGAGGAAAAGAAACUAACAAGGAUUCCCCUAGUAACUGCGAGUGAAGCGGGAAAAGCUCAAAUUUAAAAUCUGGCAGUCUUUGAUUGUCCGAGUUGUAAUCUAGAGAAGCAUUAUCCGCGCUGGACCGUGUACAAGUCUCCUGGAAUGGAGCGUCAUAGAGGGUGAGAAUCCCGUCUUUGACACGGACUGCCAGGGCUUUGUGAUGUGCUCUCAAAGAGUCGAGUUGUUUGGGAAUGCAGCUCAAAAUGGGUGGUAAAUUCCAUCUAAAGCUAAAUAUUGGCGAGAGACCGAUAGCGAACAAGUACCGUGAGGGAAAGAUGAAAAGAACUUUGGAAAGAGAGUUAAACAGUACGUGAAAUUGCUGAAAGGGAAACGCUUGAAGUCAGUCGCGUUGGCCGGGAAUCAACCUUGCUUUUGCUGGGCGUACUUCCUGGUUAACGGGUCAGCAUCAAUUUUGACCGUUGGAUAAAGUUGUUGGGAAUGUGGCAUCUUCGGAUGUGUUAUAGCCCAGUUUCGUAUACAACGGUUGGGAUUGAGGAACUCAGCACGCCGCAAGGCCGGGUUUUUAACCACGUUCGUGCUUAGGAUGCUGGCAUAAUGGCUUUAAUCGACCCGUCUUGAAACACGGACCAAGGAGUCUAACAUGCCUGCGAGUGUUUGGGUGGAAAACCCGAGCGCGUAAUGAAAGUGAAAGUUGAGAUCCCUGUCGUGGGGAGCAUCGACGCCCGGACUUGAACUUUUGUGACGGAUCCGCGGUAGAGCAUGUAUGUUGGGACCCGAAAGAUGGUGAACUAUGCCUGAAUAGGGUGAAGCCAGAGGAAACUCUGGUGGAGGCUCGUAGCGAUUCUGACGUGCAAAUCGAUCGUCAAAUUUGGGUAUAGGGGCGAAAGACUAAU
rnacentral:rRNA from 1 species